rnacentral:piRNA from 1 species
UUCAAUUCAGAAUGUAGUUUGC